AGCACACCUGGAUUGUUGCCCUGAUCACAAGCCAGUGUCUUCUGUUUGUCUUCUUUCCCACCUGGUGCUGAUGGAGUGGGGCCUCGUGAUGCUCGAGGGUGCUGGAGAAGACUCUCAAGAGUCCCUUGGACAGCAAGGAGAUCCAACCAGUCUAUCCUAAAGGAAAUCACCCCUGAAUAUUCAUUGGAAGGACUUAUGCUCCAGCUCUUUGGCCACCUGAUGCAAAGAACUGACUCAUUGGAAAAGACCCUGAUGCUGGGAAAGAUUGAAGGCAGGAAGAGAAGGGGACGACGAGGAUGAGAUGGUUGGAUGGCAUCACCGACUCAAUGCGCAUGAGUUUGGUUAAACUUCGGGAGCUGAUGAUGGACAGGGAGGCCUGGCGUGCUGCAGUCCAUGAGGCUGCAAAGAGUUAGACACAACUUAGCCACUGAACAACAACAAAAAUAAGCAAAUAGAAGUAACUGCUUAGGACUCAGCCUGAGAAAACUGGACAACCUCCACCCCAAGCUCCUGAGAGGUCAUCGGUGCCUGCAGUCCGUCCCCCGCCCGCCGUGACCUGGGAGGGACGAUGGCCCUUCCUGUGGCUCUCUGCGCUCCUCCUUUGCUGGGGUCUGUAAGUGACAAGUCUUGUAACUUUACUUCCUCUGUGUGACUGCACUGCAACUACACCUUGAAUCUAAAUGACCCGGUGUCUUCACCUCCCCAGGGCUGAGCUCGGAUGCUGCGGACGCUGGGCGGGUGGCUUGGGUGUCCUCAGUCAGCAGGUCAUCAUCUGCAUGUUCUCAACUUAGUAUACCAGCUCUGGCCUCCCAGCUCCAGCCCCCAGUGUUCACGUCCACUCAGAGCCCCAGAAUGUGACCUUCUUUGAAAAUUAGUAUCUUUGCAGAUACACUUCAUUAUGACGAAGUCACACCAGAUUCGGAUGGGCCUCUAAUCCCAUGGGACUGAUGUCCUUAGGAGAGGGCUGUAUAGAGAUGCAGGGAGACACAGGCACACAGAGGGAAGAAAGGCCACGGGAAGACGGGGGCAGAGAUGGGAGCAAUGCAUUGGCAGGCCAAAGCCGAGGGUCACGGCAGCCCCCAGGAGCUCCUGGAGAGGCUGGAUUCCCCAUCACAGCCUCCAGAAGCAACCAACCCUGCUGACACUGUGAUCUCAGAUCUCCAGCUUCCAGAUCCGUCAGACAGUAACUUUGCGCGAUUUAAACCACCUGUUCUGUCCUACUUGUUUGCAGCGGCCCCUGGAAACUGACACAGAGAGCUGAUGGCCUGGCCAGACCCCCCACCGCCGCCCCCCUGGACUUUCCUGCCAGGAGGAGGAUGUGGGCCUCAGGGAGACGUCCAGGCAGACACACUGUUUACCCUCAGACAGGCUUUGUCCCCUGAGGCUCAUCCUCCCGAGAACUGACCCACGGAACUCUGACCCUGCCCUCCUUUACCCUUAGCGCUCCUUCUAAGGGUCCACUUUUCUCAUCUGAUUUCCCUCUGUGGCCCACAGGCUGGCUCCGGGCUCUGAGCAGGGUGCCUGGCACGGGAUGGAACACCACAAAUAAGCUCUUGGACUAUAGCUAUGCGUUACAGGGAGGAGAUGGUCAGAGCCGUCAAGAAAGCUACUCUUCUGAUCUGGGUCUGCGACACAACCUAGGUUGCAGGGUGGGGGGUACCCCUGAGCCAGUUUUGUGGAGACGGAUUUCGACAUCCUUACUAUUCCACACAUGGGGCAAGUGAAGCACAGAGAGGUCAAGAAACUUGCCUGAAGUCACACAGCUGAGCCCUGAGGUGACAGCCAGCCUUCCGGGCUUUCACUUGCCGAACUGCGGUGUUUCCAGCAGGACAGGCAGAGGAUGUCUGGCUGCCUCAACUAUCUAUUAAGUUCCUUGAGGGCAGCAGAGCUGCUUUCCCUCACAGGAUCUCUUUUCAUUGAGGAAGCACUUAAUAAAUCCUGAUUAUAUCCUGCCCCGGCCUUCACAUGACUGAGGGGCCUGCCUCCCCCAGCGUUGUUGCUGUUCCGUUGCUCAGUCAUGUCCUACUGUUUGGGACCCCAUGGACUGCAGCACGCCAGGCCUCCCUGUCCUUCACCACCUCCAGGCCCCCAUAACCUCCUCUGAUUGGGAACCUCCCCCACGUCACAGACACAAAUGCCUUCCCCAAGCUCCUCAAUGGGUACAGGAUUGUUUCCGUGUUUGGUGGGCAUCACAGCUCACUGUGGGUGCCUUGAGAGCAAAGGUCAGCCUCUCUUACCUCCCGUGGGGUUCCCCGAGCCAGCCAGGGGCCUGGCAGGCCACGAACCAUCAGCGGACAUUGGUCAAGUGAAUGAAGGAACCUCUCCAGCUUUGCCCGACUCUGCAGUUCUUACAGGAUCGCUUUUCUAGAACACCCACCCCAACUCCACCUAACGGAGAGAAGGCUGCUUUCCUAGCGUUUGGAAUAUAUUAGGAGGGGGUUCAAAUAAAUUGCCAAGACACAACAGGCUCAAACCACUGUGGCUUUGCCAGAAAUCACUGGAGAAUUCAAGCCAGAGGAGGGGGGUGGGACCCAUGAUCCUCUGGAGCACCGCUCACAG
ensembl:lncRNA